rnacentral:rRNA from 1 species
AUCAACUUUCGAUUGGUAGGAUAGAGGCCUACCAUGGUGGUAAUGGGUAACGGGGUGUUAGGGCACGACACCGGAGAGGGAGCCUGAGAAACAGCUACCACAUCCAAGGAUGGCAGCAGGCGCGCAAAUUACCCAAUCCCGACACGGGGAGGUAGUGACAAUAAAUAACAAUACGGGGUUCUUUAGGAUCUCGUAAUUGGAAUGAGUACAAUAUAAAUCUCUUAACGAGGAACAAUUGGAGGGCAAGUCUGGUGCCAGCAGCCGCGGUAAUUCCAGCUCCAAUAGCGUAUAUUAAAGUUGUUGCAGUUAAAAAGCUCGUAGUUGAAUUUCGGGAUCAAUUUGUCAGUCGUGCCUCGGUACGUACUGGUAUUAUUGGUUUCUACCUUCUGAAGAACCUUGAUGUCAUUAAUUUGGUGUCUUGGGGAAUCAGGACUGUUACUUUGAAAAAAUUAGAGUGUUUAAAGCAAGCAUACGCUUGAAUACAUUAGCAUGGAAUAAUGAAAUAGGACGUUUGAUUCUAUUUUGUUGGUUUCUAGGAUCGACGUAAUGAUUAAUAGGGAUAGUUGGGGGCAUUAGUAUUCAAUUGUCAGAGGUGAAAUUCUUGGAUUUAUUGAAGACUAACUACUGCGAAAGCAUUUGCCAAGGAUGUUUUCAUUAAUCAAGAACGAAAGUUAGGGGAUCGAAGACGAUCAGAUACCGUCGUAGUCUUAACCAUAAACUAUGCCGACUAGGGAUCGGAUGAUGUUAAUUUUUUAAUGAUUCAUUCGGCGCCUUACGGGAAACCAAAGUGUUUGGGUUC